AAAUGGGUAUUCAAAUUAGCAAAAAAAUAAAAAAAAGUAAAUAUAAAGUACUUUUUGGGAGGUACCAAUAAGCAGAGAGGUCAAUAAAGGCCUUAUAUAGGAAGCUGUGCUUGAGCUGAACUUUAAAGGAAGCUAGGGAUUCUAGGAGACAGAGUUGAAAAGGGAGUACAUUAUAAGCACAGGGUACAAGAGAUGGGAAAUCAAAUGCAGUAUUCAUGAAGGGGAACAUUGGAAACAGGUAGGUGGUACUAUAGAUAGAGUGCCAGCCCUGGAGCCUGGAGGGCCUAGGAUCAAAUCUGCCCUCAGAUACUUCCUAGCUGUGUGACCCUGGGCAAGUCCCUUAACUCCAUUUGCCUAGCUCUUGCCAGGCUUCUGUUUGAGAGUGUUACUAUGACAGAAAGUAAGGAUUUUAAAAAAAAAGAAGGGGAACAUUAUGUAAAAGCCUGAAAAGAUUGUUUGGAAUAGGUUAAAUAAGGCUUUAAAUACCAAACAGAAAGUUUGUAUUUCAUUCUAGAUGCAACUGGGAGCCACUGGAGUUUUUGAGCAGGAAAAUGACACAGUGGCAUUUGAGCCUUAGGAGAACCAUGUUGGCAGCUGUGUGGAGAAGGAUGGAUGGCGAUGAGGAGAAACUUGAGUCAGGGAAACUAUUAGGAGGCUCUUGAACUAUUCUAGGUAAGAAGGAGUAAGAGCCAGAGCUAGGACUAUGAGCAGGUGAGUGGGGAGAAUGAGAUGGGUGUGAAGGAUGUGGUGUGGAACUGACAAGACUUAGCAACUGGGUGGAUGGGACUCAGUGAUGGAGAGUGAAGAGUUGUCCACGUUGUCACUGGAAGGAUGGUGAUGUCUCGGCUAGAAACAGGGAAGUUGAGAAGAGAGGGCUGGUUUUGAGGGGGGAAAUGAGGAAUUAAACUUUUUUUUGUUGAGUUGAAUUGCCUAUGAGACCUCCAAUUUGAAAUGACCAAUGGGCAGUUGAUGUAGUGGUCCUGGAGCUCAAGUGAGAAGAGGGCAGAUAUAUAGAUCUGGGAAUAAUCUGAAUGGAGAUGAUAAUUGAAUUCAUGAGAAUUGAUGAGGUCACAGAAAGAUGUGAAGACACAGGAGAAGAGGUCAUAGGAUAGAGCUUUGUUAGCACUCAUAGUUAGGAGUUGGGACAUGGAUGCUGAACUAGCAAGGGGAACUGAGAGGGGACCUUCUCCACACAGGAAGAAGGAGAAGCAAGGCAGAUGUGGCUAACAUCUUCCAGUGGAGUCAUAAGGGAAUACACACACCAGGACAACCAGAAGAGAAUGAAACCUUAAAAUACCACUUUCCUGGAGGAUGCAGGCUUAUGAGAGGAGUCUACCACCUUGUCAGGACCUGUUCCUCACAGAAGAUCUACCCAAUUUUUGAGAAGCCUUCCUCCAUGUUUUCUUUUUUUUUUCAUUUUUUAAAAACUUACCUUCCAUUUUUUAUUGAUUCCAAUGCACAAAAGUGGUAAGGGCUAGGCAAUGGUAGUUAAGUGGCUUGCCCAAGGGCAGCUUUGGUGAAGGUUUUCAAGUUUGGGUGUCCAAAUUGCAACUUUAAAUUGCCUAUGAAUUCCCCUUCCCCCCCCCCCCCAAAUUACCCCAGAGAGCAGAUUUGCUUGAUUGGGCAGCUGGACAGAGGGAUGGCGCAUACAAAGAAUGUCCUCAGGUGCUGGGAAGAGGGGGAAUGGAGCAGAUCUCCUAGUGCUGGCUCUGCACCUGUGCCACACUUUUGCCAAUGCUGCCCUAGGGCAUUGAUGGCAAACCUUUUAGAGACUGAGUGCCAUUCCCUGCUCCCCCCUUACCCCACAUGGGGAGGGAGAAAGUCCUUCCAUUGGGCUGCUGGGUGGAGGGGUGGGUGAAAUGAGGAAUAUCCUCAACAUGUGCAGAGAG